rnacentral:lncRNA from 1 species
GCCUGUCGCUUGGAGACGGAGUGACUCCAAACGGGCUCACACGGUUUUCUGAGAAACAUAAAGGGAAACCGAAUCCACCAAUAUAUAUAUAUAUUUUCUUGAGACGGCGUCUCGCUCUGUCACCCAGGCUGGAGUGCAGUGGCGUGAUCUCGGCUCACUGCAAACUCCGCCUCCCGGGUUGACGCCAUUCUUCUGCCUCAGCCUCCCGAGUAGCUGGGACUACAGGCGCCCGCCGCCACGCCCGGCUAAUUUUUUUGUAUUUUAGUAGAGACGGGGAGUCACCGUGUUGCCCAGGCUGGUCGCGAACUCCUGAGCUCAGGCAAUCCGCCCGCCUUGGCCUCCCAAAGUGCUAGGAUUACAGGCGUGAGCCACCGCGCCCGGCCCACCAAUACUCAAUUGGUUUGACUUCAGUUGAGGAAACCAGAAAAAAUUUAAAUAUAUUUAUGGAAAGAAGCUAUUGGGAGAGUGGCUGAGUACUGAGUCUAUCACUACUUGGAUGAUACAGGUAAGACUCCAGAUUCACAUUUCCAAGUACUAAGAGUUCCUCUAAAAUGCCACAAUCCAGCCGGUCUUCAUUUACAUUUCUGCUGAACACAGCAAUGCCCACUGGUAUCUCUGAAGUGUAAUUGCACCUUAGGUCGGCAUUUCUCCAAGUAAAGCAGCUGUUUGGAAUUGAAUGCUCCCCUUCUUUUUUGUCUUAUAAACUGAACUGCAUCUUCAUACUUAAUUCCAUAUUCAAAGCAAGCGCUGCCAGCACAGGUGCCCUUCCCAAUCCCACAGCACAAUGCACUGCAAGGCAGCAACCUGGCUUUUCACGCCCUUUAGUGAUUAACAGGUUUAGCCAGUCAUCUGCUAUCUGAUUAGGUGGUGGAGCUUCAUCGUCAAAAGACCAAUCUAAAAUAUGGAUUCCUUCUUUUUCAACUGGAACUUUACCAAAUGUAGCAUCACAAACUCAAACCAAAGGUGUCACUCCACACGUCUCACAUUCCUCUGUGAACUUGUUGCAGUGGCACUGGUAGACUUGUGGGUUAUGAGAAAAUGCAUGUUCCUGUAAAUCUCCACAGGGGCUGAACAGUCCAUUAUGGCAAAGAAAAAGUGUGAGCAUGUGUGUGAGUGUAAUGGGGAAAGUGAAAAAAAAUCAAUAAAUCUUGAAAUGUUUCACAGCA